CCUGCCUUUGAUGGGGGAUAACACUCCUAACGGAAUGCUAAUACCGCAUGAGACCACAGAUUCUCCUGAAUCAGUGGUCAAAGGUGGCCUCUGUUUUAAGCUACCGCUCAAAGAUGGCUUCGCGUCCCAUUAGCUUGUUGGCGGUGUAAAAGACCACCAAGGCGACGAUGGGUAGCUGGUCUGAGAGGAUGGUCAGCCACACUGGGGCUGAGAUACGGCCCAG
rnacentral:rRNA from 1 species